GUUCUUAUAGUGUAAUAUUGCACAUUAGAUUUUCAAUUUUUUAGAACAUAUUAGUAUGUUAAGAAUA
rnacentral:tRNA from 1 species